rnacentral:rRNA from 1 species
CCGACCUGAGAGGGUGAUCGGCCACACUGGGACUGAGACACGGCCCAGACUCCUACGGGAGGCAGCAGUAGGGAAUCUUCCGCAAUGGACGAAAGUCUGACGGAGCAACGCCGCGUGUAUGAAGAAGGUUUUCGGAUCGUAAAGUACUGUUGUUAGAGAAGAACAAGGAUAAGAGUAACUGCUUGUCCCUUGACGGUAUCUAACCAGAAAGCCACGGCUAACUACGUGCCAGCAGCCGCGGUAAUACGUAGGUGGCAAGCGUUGUCCGGAUUUAUUGGGCGUAAAGCGCGCGCAGGCGGUCUUUUAAGUCUGAUGUGAAAGCCCCCGGCUUAACCGGGGAGGGUCAUUGGAAACUGGAAGACUGGAGUGCAGAAGAGGAGAGUGGAAUUCCACGUGUAGCGGUGAAAUG